AUCUAGCUGAUGAGCUCCAAAAAGAACGAAACGCGUCCUAGAU
rnacentral:hammerhead_ribozyme from 2 species